GACGUAGGGCGCGAGCGUUGUCCGGAUUUAUUGGGCGUAAAGAGCUCGUAGGCGGCUUGUCGCGUCGACUGUGAAAUCCCGCGGCUCAACUGCGGGUCUGCAGUCGAUACGGGCAGGCUAGAGUUCGGUAGGGGAGACUGGAAUUCCUGGGUGUAGCGGUGAAAUGCGCAGAUAUCAGGAGGAACAUCGGUGGCGAAGGCGGGUCUCUGGGCCGAUGACUGACGGCUGAGGAGCGAAAGCGUGGGGAGCGAACAGGAUAGAUACCCCGUGU
rnacentral:rRNA from 1 species